GACGAACGCUGGCGGCGUGCUUAACACAUGCAAGUCGAACGGAAAGGCCCCUUUGGGGGUACUCGAGUGGCGAACGGGUGAGUAACACGUGAGUAACCUGCCCUUGACUUCGGGAUAACUUCAGGAAACUGGGGCUAAUACCGGAUAGGAAUCCUUGCUGCAUGGUGGGGGUUGGAAAGCUUCGGCGGUUUUGGAUGGACUCGCGGCUUAUCAGCUUGUUGGUGGGGUAGUGGCUUACCAAGGCUUUGACGGGUAGCCGGCCUGAGAGGGCGACCGGCCACAUUGGGACUGAGGUACGGCCCAGACUCCUACGGGAGGCAGCAGUGGGGAAUAUUGCACAAUGGGCGGAGGCCUGAUGCAGCAACGCCGCGUGCGGGAUGACGGCCUUCGGGUUGUAAACCGCUUUCAGCAGGGGAGAAGCUUGUGGUGACGGUACCUGCAGAAGAAGCACCGGCUAACUACGUG
rnacentral:rRNA from 1 species